rnacentral:antisense_RNA from 1 species
CUUUUUUAUUAUUAUUUAUUUCACCAAUCUGAAUCGAAAAUUGUAAUACUGCAUUACAUAUUGUAACAAAGUCAUUCUCUAAUAUACAAACUGGAGUUGAAAAUAUCUUCAAGUUAUUUAAUGGUAAAUUAUUGCUAUUAAUCAUACUUUUACCUGAAUCUUUUAUAUUAUCUUUUUUAUUAUUAAUUGGACCAGUUAAGCUAUAUUCUGAAGAUGGAGAAAGAGUCAUAAUUUCAUUAUUAUUAUAUUCCACCAAACAUCCAAUACUUAAAAUUACGUAUUGUGAAGAACAAGGACAAUAAUGUCUUCUUGUAAAUUCUAUAUCAACAUCGCCAAUAUAAAUAUCAAUAUUAUAAGCAUUAUUAUCUAAUAGUGGGAAAUUACAUAGAGGAAGUUUUCUACCAAAUAUUGUUCCUUUAUUAAUUCCACUUGGAAUAUCAAUUCUAGUAUCAUAAUUAUAAGGUGUUGCCAAAUUUCCGCAUCUCAAAAAAAUCGUAAAUCCUUGA